rnacentral:tRNA from 1 species
GCCUGGCUGGUUUAGUCGGUAGAACGCAUGACUCUUGAUCUUGGGGCUGUGAGUUCAAGCCCCACCUUGGGUG